GGUAAGGUGGCUCAGUGGUUAAGAGCACUGAAAGCUUCCUCUUCCAGAGGUCCUGAGUUCAAAUCCCAGCAACCA
rnacentral:tRNA from 1 species